rnacentral:lncRNA from 1 species
AGUUCCGCGGCGCAAGGGGAACCCCCCUCUCAGAGGAACCCUGCCGUCCCCCUCCCGGGGAGGGGGAAGGUCGCCGUCGCAUGCGACCAAAGAGAGGGAAAAUAAGUUGUUAUAUAUUAAUAAUUCUGGUAUCUUUCACCGUUACUCGAAAUACUCGCGAAUCAACUGGUGCCGUGUCGUGGUGCGAAAGUUCGGACUUUUUGGACUUGUGGUACAGUGCCUUGUGGAAAAUUUGGAGUGAUUGGAGUAACCAUGAAGUUUCUGGUUAUAUUUGGACUCCUGGCCACGUCAGUCCUCGCCGACCGGCCCUCCUCCAGCAGCGACAACAAAGCUGAGGCGGCAUCCUCCUCCAGCUCGAAGACCCACGAGAAGCGGACGACCGCCUACAGCGUGUACGGGCCGCCUAGCCAGCACGCACACAAUGGACCGACACCCUCCUACUCGCCGGGCUACGUGAGCAGCUACGCACCCACCUACGCCUCAGGGGUGGACUACUCGGCACCCGCCACCUACGCCAUCGCCGCCCCCUACGCCGCGGCAACCCAUGGCUCGUACGCUAUCGCAGCGCCAUACCCAGCUCCCGUAGCCGUCGCUGUUCCGGCCGCUAACUACGCCUCCGUGCCCACAGCCAACUACGCCGCCGUGCCCGCACCCAACUACGCAGCCAUUGCCCAUCCCCUCUUCGUGCCGAACAGCGGCGUGGACUCCCACGCCCUCGCCUACCCUGCUGCAACCUACGCAGGUCCCAGCCUUGGCGUCUACCCCGCCAUCGGCAUCCCUGCCAACUAUCCCCCUGCCGGCUACAACUUCCCACCACCCAACUACGUGCCCUACACGGGACCGAAUCGCGAUACUUACACCAACGCCGAUGGAACCAGAGUCGGUCCAGUGACUUUCGGACCUGGACACGGAGGUGUCUACCACCCACCCUCUUUCGCCUACUCGCCUUCCGGUUACGAGCCAAGCACCAACUACGAGAAACCCUCCUCCUCGUAUGGCCCGCCCUCUUACUCUCCUCCAUCUCCAUCCUACGGGACACCUUCAUUCACCCCCUCUUACUCCCCGUCAUACUCUGGACCGUCAUACUCCUCAGGUUCGCCCUCAUACUCCUCAGGAAGUGCAACAAGUUUCUCCACCACCCACAACUACACCCCCUCCAGGCCAAGUUCCUCUUAUGGACCGCCGUCACCUCCAUCUACGUAUGGACCCCCUUCACCCAACUCUUAUAGCCCCUCGUCUUCGUACGGACCCCCAUCUCCUUCUUACAGCUCUCCGUCGUCUUCCUAUGGACCUCCUUCUCCCUCCUACAGCUCCCCCUCUUCCUCCUACGGACCACCUGGAUCAUACGCUUCGUCAUCGGAAAAUACCUACAACACAAUUAGGUACAGUGGGCCAACUGACUACGCCAAACAUUAAAAAGUAGGUUAAUUUACAACAGCCAUGAAGCCUUAUCUGCAAAGACAGACACAUUGAUAUUGAAUGCAAAAUCCGGUAAUAACUCAGUCAUUUUCAAAACCAAAUGGAUUCCGUGACCCGUCCACGCGGCAAAUUUGUUUAAUUUUUCUUUUUGUGCCCGUUAAAUCUUGAUACUUUUUAAGAUUUACUUUUUCGCACUAAAGGGAAGAAGAAAAACAUUCUGGUGGUGAUCAGUUCAGAACGAGGCCAUUAUUGUUUCCGCGAAUCGACAAAAGGUCAUCAACCUAAUCUUGCAUUCGUGAAGCAAAUGGGUACAGAGCACAGCUUAUCUAAAGUUAUUUGCCAUAACGGUAAGAUUUUUUGUCGUUUUUAUGUGACUGACCAUGAUUCAGUCUUACAAAAUUGAAAGAUAAGUUUUUGCUCAUUUUCCUUUUUUUGGCACGUUCUUUUCGAUUGAGUAAUGACCCCUCGGAUUAAAGAGGAAAGAAAAAAAGUGUCAUACUUACGACAAAAAAAUGAAAUAUUUUUACUGCGUAUUUUAUCCGUUGCUUCAGGAUAUACGACAGUAUGGAGGUAAAAAAAAAAAAAUCUCUCAUUCCUUUCAGCUUAAAUGAUAUGCCUACAACACCAACACCGUUCCCUCCUGCCAAAAGAAUCUCAAAUUUAAUUCACAAUUGAUAACUUUGAAUAAAAUCGUGUGCAUCUUGGCGCUUUCCCAGCUCCUUUAUUUUAGCAAGGCAAAAUACUACAUAAAAGCACGAAAUACAACGUCAAUAAUUAUGUACAUGUGAAUUACGAAGAUGCAGCUAAAAUUUCUCAGCUCGUUGGAGACACAACACCCUGACAUAGCUUGUAGGUAAGGCUUCAUGAAAAUGUUUUACAAAAAAUUAUUUUUCAUGAGUACCUAAAAAUUAUUUUCAAAAAAACUAUAAGAAUUGCCAAAAAGGGCUCAAACUGCCUCCUCAGCUCGUAAGUUCUGUACAUUUAUAAGUAGGUUAAGCUAUUUCUCAUUUUUACCUUAUCUUGUGAUGAACUUUGAUAAUAGGGAGUUACCUUUUCGUUACCCUGACUUUAUACUAGAUUGAGCCCAACUCGCCAACCUUAUUUAUGCUUCUUUUUUUUACAUUUUUUUUACAUUUAUCCGUCCGUUGAAUGUUGUAAAUAUAGUUAUAAACGCAUACUUAUACCGGUUAUAGUACUUUAUCGCCCGAAAAAAACAGCGUACUUCCGAAAAUUUUCGGCGGUUACUUUUUCAGCUUGAAACCAUUUAUGUAAAGCCUUUUACCUUUCAUUACAUGAUAAAGCAAUAUCCGAGGGGUAUCUAAAAGGUUUUAUAUUCCUUUAACCAUACUUUACGUCAAUCUAUUUCUUAAUUAAUUAUUGAAGUUUCAGGAAAGAGUACAUCAAACUACGUCUCAUACAAAUUUUCAAAAAACUUUGAUAGAGAAUGUUGCACAAUCGGUGCUGUUUAAGAGCGCACCGUGAGUUAAGGGCCGUGAGUGGUGUCAGAAUUUCUCUUUUUCCCAGCGGAAAAUUGCAGUUACAUUCAUUCUAUUGUUUUCUCUUUCUCAUUUCAUCUCAUAAAUGUGUACUAAAGUUUUGUCAGUAAAACGAAUUGUUCCUACAACGGAAAGGAAGUUUCCCAAAAACUUACUUAAUGGAUUUAAUUGCGCAAGUAUAUUAUGUUAAUUUGUUCAUGGUGCCAACUUGUUUAGUUUGUAAAUACAAGAUCGUAUCACUUUUGCAUACUUUUAGAAUUUUAAUUUGUACACCUAAAUUUUUCAAAAAUAAAUACACACUCACUUAAUCCCGUGUUAUCAUUAAUAUCAGAACCCUUGAUGAUGAUGCAUUGAUUAUUAUCAGCGGAUUUCAUCAUUUGCAGUACGGUUUCAGGACAUUCCGUCAACGAGUUUUUGUCCGCGCACCUGUUUUGUCCAGUCGUUAACGUUCACACGUCAAAUAAGCAACAAAGUGACUUGGUCCAAGCGUUAUAUUUUAUUCUGUACGUACAAUUAUAUUGAUAAUGUCGGAAUGAGAAAAUUAAGAGAGAAGGAAGUGUUUGUUAUGGUGACUCAUUAUUUAAAUGAAAUUUUACUUUCUUCUUUUGAUUCAUCUUUUCAAAUU